rnacentral:tRNA from 1 species
AGCAGAGUGAAGAAGCCCGGUAUCUCGUCUGGCUCAUAACCAGAAGGCCGCACGUUCGAAUCGUGCCUCUGCAA